GGGUGCCUCCAUCCCCCUCAGAAGAGUCUCCAACCACCUCUACCCUACGUUUCCUCCUGGGAGUGGUGGCUGUGAUCCUCCCCGCCUUGGUGGGGUACAUGGCUUCUCUUCUCUUCUCUUCUUCAACGUUUGGGGAUGAUUCCUCAUCAUUCAUUGUGAGGGCAGCAUAACAGUUCUCCACCAUAGUGGGUGGGUUGGGAGUAGGGGUGGAGCACUGCCUGCUGCCAGGAGUAACCAGGAGCUAGUGUCCUCCCUGUAUCACAGUGUUAUCCUCCUCCCCUGGGGGCGUGACAGCAAUCCUGUCUAGCUGGAUAGCGUCCUCAGCCUAGGAAGUCUUCAUAUGAAUACUCUCAAUGGAUUCCUCUUGUGCACAGAUGCUCCUCAGUCUAGCCACCUCCUCCUGUAGCUCUCCCAUCUGCUUCCGGAGAGAUUCCACCAGCAGGCACCUUUCACACUGGAUGGUCCUCCCCAGCCUGAUUUUCUGUGAGUGAGAAAUGCAGGCCACAGUUUCUGCAAAUCCACACCAGGAUCUGGAUAGAGGCAUUCGUGGUUAGGUUCUGUCUGGAUACAGCAGGGCCGGUGCAACCAUUUAGGCAAACUAGGCGGCCGCCUAGGGCGCCUAACGGUUGGGGGCGCCUAAAAGCCCCCUCAGACUAACAUGGCUGCUACUCUGAAACCUGUCAGAAGCAAAGGAGAACACGUUUAGUAAGCAGAUGAGGGAGGCUGCUCCAGCCAGUGUAGAAGGAAGCCCUCACCCGCCCACUCUCAGUUAGGAGGUGGCCAGUGCCAGUAAGCAGAGACUUGAACUGAAAUAGCAGAAGGGGUGAAUUACAAUUGAUUUAAUCAUUUUGAAGAAGGUUUGUGUGAAGAACCAGCCGAAGCGUCCUUUGAAAAUCCCAGCCUAACGUGACAGGUGCUGUACAGGUCUACUUGAGAGUCACUUGUUUAUGCAGCCAAGGAUUGCAUUAGCCCUUUUGGCCAUAGCAUCACUCAUAUUCAGCUGGUCUACCAUGACCCCUAAAUCUUUUUCAGUCUCACUGCUUCCCAGGAAAGACUCUCCCGUUCUGUUCCAGAUACAGAUUGCUCUGUAUCAGUGACCAGCCUGCACUGGACCAUAGCACAGCUGUCUGAAAUGGAAUGGAGCCUUCACUUAAAGAGCUUCACAUCCCAAAAAACAGCACUUUAUAAAUGAAUGAAAGACCAUCUUACUGCCACUCUGUCAAAGCUGUGCAGCCAGGCACCUGGGUAGGAGCUGUGUCCAUGAUACCAGUACCUGUAACCCUGCUCUCCAAUUCCACCCCCUUUGUUUGCUGCUCUCACCUGUUGGUCCUUGCCUUGGGUUUAGGCUGGCAGCUCUUUGGAGCAGAUAGUGCUUGCUGCCACAGCCCCCACCUCCACCUUGGAGGUGGAUAGAUAAGUAAUAAAUGCAGUAAUAGAUAGCAAGAGGACAGGUGCCUUUAAACCCCAGAGAGUGAAUAAGGAAAACAGAGUUUGUCAGUUAAAGGCAUCUUAGAUAAGUAAAAUCAAUCAAUAAAGCACUCACCAAAGGGUUGUGCUGCCAUAUUAGGGCUCACUGACACCCUAUCUCCUCUGUCUCCAAGGCAGCGUGUCUCAGGGGAGUCAGAUACUCGGCAGCUGUGGUUUAGUUACGUGACAUUUACUCUCUGCAGAUAGAAGUGUCUGAGUGAGGCAGGCAGUAACCACAAAGUCUGCUUGAAUACGUGACAGUGAAGGGCACAAGCUAUGCAUAGGCUGGGAAUUUCAGCUGACACUGGAUACUGCCAUAGCUUACAUUAAUGGAGGAGCCAAAUUCAACCUGAGAUGACCUUGGGAGCCCAGCCUUCGUCUUUAUCAGCGGCAGAACGGCUGCGGAGAAUUAGAAGGCAGCCAAGAAGAAUUAAGGAGGGCUUUCUGAUUGAGGUUAUGAUGCACUCCACUGCCGAGAAACAGGAAUUGAAGGAGUGACAGGACAGCGAGAAGAGGGACUGAAAGGAGAAUGCGGCAUGCCAGAAAGAAGCCACAGAGUGGCUCUUAAACUUUAUGGAGUGCCAAGUGGACACACUCCAGGCAAUACUAACUCUUCAAACCAAGCAGCUCCGCACCCGCCUUCCCCUGCUGCUGCUGUCACAAAACUCUGUCCCAUGUGCCCCCCAGACACUGCUAACCCACUCUUACCAACCUCCUGGCUCCAGUCUCUACCUGCAGCAUUCCACUCCUCCCUCCUCACAGUCCAGCACUGUGGACUCCCCCUACCUGCUGCACUCAACACCCAUCCCUCUACAGUUUGGCCCUACUGAAGUACAGUACCUGCUGCAUUGUACUUCAGUGGAGAAGGCUGGAUAUGAUCCCUGGACAUACCUAAAUCUUUAUCCAUCCUGGGACCCUUCCUCCUCCUGAGACCUUCCCUUCCCCCAUUCCCCUCAGUGCUGAUGUAUUUUUUCAUUUGACUCUGUC